rnacentral:rRNA from 1 species
UACAGAGGAUGCAAGCGUUAUCCGGAAUGAUUGGGCGUAAAGCGUCUGUAGGUGGCUUUUUAAGUCCGCCGUCAAAUCCCAGGGCUCAACUCUGGACAGGCGGUGGAAACUACCAAGCUGGAGUACGGUAGGGGCAGAGGGAAUUCCCGGUGUAGUGGUGAAAUGCGUAGAGAUCGGGAGGAACACCUGUGGCGAAGGCGGCCCCCUGGGCCGGCCCUGACACUGAGACGCGAAGGCGUGGGGAGCGAACGGG